GACGAACGCUGGCGGCGUGCCUAAUACAUGCAAGUUGAGCGCUGAAGGUUGGUACUUGUACCGACUGGAUGAGCAGCGAACGGGUGAGUAACGCGUGGGGAAUCUGCCUUUGAGCGGGGGACAACAUUUGGAAACGAAUGCUAAUACCGCAUAAAAACUUUAAACACAAGUUUUAAGUUUGAAAGAUGCAAUUGCAUCACUCAAAGAUGAUCCCGCGUUGUAUUAGCUAGUUGGUGAGGUAAAGGCUCACCAAGGCGAUGAUACAUAGCCGACCUGAGAGGGUGAUCGGCCACAUUGGGACUGAGACACGGCCCAAACUCCUACGGGAGGCAGCAGUAGGGAAUCUUCGGCAAUGGACGAAAGUCUGACCGAGCAACGCCGCGUGAGUGAGGAAGGUUUUCGGAUCGUAAAACUCUGUUGGUAGAGAAGAACGUUGGUGAGAGUGGAAAGCUCAUCAAGUGACGGUAACUACCCAGAAAGGGACGGCUAACUACGUG
rnacentral:rRNA from 1 species